AUGAGCCCCAGGCAUGCUAUCAGAGAGCUCCUUCUGCCUGGGCUGCUCCUUGGGAGGACUAAAACCAGCUUGAUUGCAUGGUACCUGUGGCUUGGUAGCGUAGAUGCAGCAUUACCAAGAGCCUGAGCAGGGUUGUAUCAGAGUCACCUCUUUCAUCUGCACAGGGUGCUUUGUGCAGUUGUGGAGAGGGAAGGGAAAUCCUCAUGUCAUGAAGCACUGAGGGAAGGUGAGUGGUGUCAGCCUGGUCAUCCCUUAUCCGAAGCGAAGGAAAGGUUGUUUGGUGCUUGUUUUGGCAUAUGAUAUCUUUUGCUCCUAGAUCUUUCUUUCUAUGUACAAAAAAAAAAGUAAAAAAAAAAAAAAAUGGUUGAGCUAUUUGCAGUUAAGAAAGUUCCAGGUAAUUGCUGGGUCGUAUUGUCCAUUUAAUAUUCGAAGUUGCAGCAAAAGCAUGGGGAUUGUUCCUUCUAGAAACACCCCAGUUCUCUUGUUUGCAGUUUGCAUUCUGUUGA